rnacentral:rRNA from 1 species
UAGGGAAUCUUCCGCAAUGGGCGAAAGCCUGACGGAGCAACGCCGCGUGAGUGAUGAAGGUUUUCGGUUCGUAAAACUCUGUUAUUAGGGAAGAACAAAUGUGUAAGUAACUAUGCACGUCUUGACGGUACCUAAUCAGAAAGCCACGGCUAACUACGUGCCAGCAGCUGCGGUAAUACGUAGGUGGCAAGCGUUAUCCGGAAUUAUUGGGCGUAAAGCGCGCGUAGGCGGUUUUUUAAGACUGAUGUGAAAGCGCACGGCUCAACCGUGGAGGAUCAUUGGAAACUGGAGAACUUGAGUACAGAAGGGGAAAGUGGAAUUCCAUGUGGAGCGGUGAAAUGCGCAGAGGUAUGGGGAGACAACAGUGGCGAAGACGACUUUCUAGUCUGGAACUGGCGAUGAUGUGCGAAAGCGUAGGGAUCAAACAGG